rnacentral:rRNA from 1 species
AGUUCAAGAGUACGUGAAACCGUUUAGGGGUAAACCUGAGAAACCCGAAAGGUCGAAGGAAGAAAUUCAUUCGCGUUUCGAUGCUAGCAUCAGAUAGAAUUGUGACGUAAAUUGUGUGCGUGUCCUUUGCGGGGCACGUUCAUAUGAUUUGUGCUCAUUUUGUUUGUUGAUCUGGCAACGAACGCGUGCACUUUUCUUCUGGUAGGACGUCGCGAUUCGUUGAGUAUCGGUCUACGGUUUGAGGUGGAGACCGUUUUCAAUUGCAUUUAGUCGUGUAAAUGGGAGCGGACCCUCGAUACCUGGCCGAUUUGCUCGACGGUAUGCUAACGGUUAGGGGCCGCUUUUAAAAAGCGUUCGACACAAAGCAAGCGCGUUAGAUGUAUGUUGGCAAUUGGACCUAGUGCCGAUUCCGACCUCUAAUGACUGUUGGCUUUGUUGUUCUCGAACAGACUCCUCUUCGAUCAAUUUUACGAUUGAUCGAUAUAGAAUAAUUUGAGAGAAAACCGAUCUGCGACGCUAUAGCUUUGGGUACUUUCAGGACCCGUUCUUGAAA